rnacentral:rRNA from 1 species
GGAGGAAAAGAAACUAACAAGGAUUCCCCUAGUAACGGCGAGUGAAGAGGGAAAAGCUCAAAUUUUGAAUCUGGCGUCUUUGACUCCCGAGUUGUAAUCUAGAGAAGUGUUUUCUGUGUCGGACCGUGCACAAGUUCCCUGGAACGGGGUGUCAUAGAGGGUGAGAAUCCCGUAUAUGGCACGGACUGCCGAUGCUCUGUGAUACACUCUCAACGAGUCGAGUUGUUUGGGAAUGCAGCUCAAAAUGGGUGGUAAAUUCCAUCUAAAGCUAAAUAUUGGCGAGAGACCGAUAGCGAACAAGUACCGUGAGGGAAAGAUGAAAAGCACUUUGGAAAGAGAGUGAAACAGUACGUGAAAUUGUUGAAAGGGAAGCGUUUGAAGUCAGUCAUAUCUGGUGGGAUUCAGCCCUGGCUUCUGCCUGGUGUACUUUCCAUCCGGUGGGUCAGCAUCAAUUUCGACCGAGGGAAAAAGGCACCGGGAAUGUGGCUGUCUUCGGGCAGUGUUAUAGCCUGGUGUUGUAUGCCUUGGUUGGGAUUGAGGAACGCAGCGCGCCUUUUGGCCAGGGGUUCGCCUCUUGACACGCGCUUAGGAUGCUGGCAUAAUGGCUUUAAGCGACCCGUCUG